CACGUAGUUAGCCGGGGCUUUCUUCUCAGGUACCGUCACUUCCGUAGCAGUUACUCUACGAAACGUUCUUCCCUGGCAACAGAGCUUUACGAUCCGAAAACCUUCAUCACUCACGCGGCAUUGCUCCAUCAGGCUUUCGCCCAUUGUGGAAGAUUCCCUACUGCUGCCUCCCGUAGGAGUCUGGGCCGUGUCUCAGUCCCAGUGUGGCCGUUCACCCUCUCAGGUCGGCUACGCAUCGUCGCCUUGGUGAGCCAUUACCCCACCAACUAGCUAAUGCGCCGCAGGCCCAUCUCUCAGUGACAGCUUACGCCGUCUUUCCUCAUCCUUUGAUGCCAAAAGAUGAUGUAUUCGGUAUUAGCAUCCGUUUCCGGAAGUUAUCCCAAACUGAAAGGCAGGUUGCCUACGUGUUACUCACCCGUCCGCCGCUAAGCUUCAGAGAAGCAAGCUUCUCUAAGGCUCCGCUCGACUUGCAUGUAUUAGGCAUGCCGC
rnacentral:rRNA from 1 species